GACGAACGCUGGCGGCGUGCCUAAUACAUGCAAGUCGAACGAGAGCGACCGGUGCUUGCACUGGUCAAUCUAGUGGCGAACGGGUGAGUAACACGUGGGUAACCUGCCCAUCAGAGGGGGAUAACAUCCGGAAACGGAUGCUAAAACCGCAUAGGUCUUCGAGCCGCAUGGCUUGAAGAGGAAAAGAGGCGCAAGCUUCUGCUGAUGGAUGGACCCGCGGUGCAUUAGCUAGUUGGUGAGGUAACGGCUCACCAAGGCCGUGAUGCAUAGCCGACCUGAGAGGGUGAUCGGCCACAUUGGGACUGAGACACGGCCCAAACUCCUACGGGAGGCAGCAGUAGGGAAUCUUCCGCAAUGGACGCAAGUCUGACGGAGCAACGCCGCGUGAGUGAAGAAGGUUUUCGGAUCGUAAAACUCUGUUGUUAGAGAAGAACAAGUGCUAGAGUAACCGUUAGCGCCUUGACGGUAUCUAACCAGAAAGCCACGGCUAACUACGUG
rnacentral:rRNA from 1 species